CCCUUAGAUGUUCUGGGCAGCACGCGCGCUACACUGACCGGUGCAACAAGCAUCCGUCCUUGGCCGACAGGCCCGGGCAAUCUUUGAACGCCGGUCGUGAUGGGGAUAGACUUUUGCAAUUUUUGGUCUUCAACGAGGAAUUCCUAGUAAACGCAAGUCAUCAACUUGCAUUGAUUACGUCCCUGCCCUUUGUACACACCGCCCGUCGCACCUACCGAUUGAAUGGUCCGGUGAAGCCUCCGGAUUGGCGCGCACCUCGGUGCCGCCGAGAAGUUGGCUAAACCUUACCAUUUAGAGGAAGGUGAAGUCGUAACA
rnacentral:rRNA from 1 species